rnacentral:rRNA from 1 species
AAGGCCUUCGGGUUGUAAGGCUCUUCCGGCGGGGACGAAAAGGUCAAGGUAAAUAAUCUUGAUUCAUGACGGUACCCGAAGAAGAAGCACCGGCUAACUACGUGC